rnacentral:rRNA from 1 species
AGGACGAACGCUGGCGGCGUGCUUAACACAUGCAAGUCGAACGGAAAGGCCCUUUGGGGUACUCGAGUGGCGAACGGGUGAGUAACACGUGAGCAACCUGCCCUUAGCUCCGGGAUAGCUCCGGGAAACCGGAAUUAAUACCUGAUACGACCACGGCCGACAUCUGCUGUGGUGGAAAGGAUUCCGGCUAAGGAUGGGCUCGCGGCCUAUCAGCUAGUUGGUGGAGUAACGGCCCACCAAGGCGACGACGGGUAGCCGGCCUGAGAGGGCGACCGGCCACACUGGGACUGAGACACGGCCCAGACUCCUACGGGAGGCAGCAGUGGGGAAUAUGCGCAAUGGGCGAAAGCCUGACGCAGCGACGCCGCGUGGGGGAUGAAGGCCUUCGGGUUGUAAACCCUUUCAGCAGGGACGAAGCGAAAGUGACGGUACCUGCAGAAGAAGCGCCGGCUAACACGUGCCAGCAGCCGC